rnacentral:lncRNA from 1 species
AUGUCCAGCAAAGAAGACAAAGUGAAAAGUGAGUCCAGUAUAAUACGUUUUGAAAGAAAAAGUACCACUACUGAGUCUGCCACAAGAGGAAAUGACAGAAGAAGUACUGAGUCUGCCACAAGAGGAAACAGAAGAAGUACUGAGUCUGCCACCAGAGGAAAUGACAGAAGAAGUACUGAUUCUGCCACAAGAGGAAACAGAAGAAGUACUGAGUCUGCCACAAGAGGAAACGACAGAAGAAGAACUGAUUCUGCCACAAGAGGAAACGACAGAAGAAGUACUGAUUCUGCCACAAGAGGAAACGACAGAAGAAGUACUGGGUCUGCCACAAGAGGAAAUGACAGAAGAAGUACUGAUGAGUCUGCCACAAGAGGGAAUGACAGAAGAAAUACUGAUUCUGCCACAAGAGGAAACGACAGAAGAAGUACUGGGUCUGCCACAAGAGGAAACAGAAGAAGUACUGAGUCUGCCACAAGAGGAAAUGACAGAAGAAGUACUGAGUCUGCCACAAGAGGAAAUGACAGAAGAAGUACUGGGUCUGCCACAAGAGGAAAUGACAGAAGAAGUACUGAGUCUGCCACAAGAGGAAAUGACAGAAGUACUGAGUCUGCCACAAGAGGAAAUGACAGGAGGAGUACUGAGUCUGCCACAAGAGAUGACAGAAGAUCACCAAGCACAGGGAAAGAAAAAAGGAACACGAAACGGAGCCACAGUAGAUCAUCUUCCUCAUCCAGCUCAUCAUCAUCAUCCUCCUCGUCAUCCUCCUCAUCCUCAUCCCACUCUUCAUCCCACAGUAGGAGAUGUUCCAGCAGUAGUGAUUCCCACAACAAAUCCAGAAGGAAUUCUAAGAAAAGGAAAAAGGAAAAACAACACAAGAAGAAAGGGAAAAAGGAGAAGAAGCAUAAACAAAAGAAGGACAAGAAAAUGACACCAGAGGAGGAAAGCGCUGGACCUGGACCUAUUCAGAUCUCCAAGUAUUUAAAGGAGAGGAGGAGAAAAGGCAAGUACAGCAUGAUCACAGGAAAGAAGAUCAAAAUGAAAUUAAAGAAGUCCAAGAAAGACAAGCUGAGGGACAAGAAUCGCGCCGAACUGCUUGAGUUCCUCAACUCCACGUUGUAA